UACGAAGGGGGCUAGCGUUGCUCGGAAUCACUGGGCGUAAAGGGUGCGUAGGCGGGUCUUUAAGUCAGGGGUGAAAUCCUGGAGCUCAACUCCAGAACUGCCUUUGAUACUGAGGAUCUUGAGUUCGGGAGAGGUGAGUGGAACUGCGAAUGUAGAGGUGAAAUUCGUAGAUAUUCGCAAGAACACCAGUGGCGAAGGCGGCCUUCUGGACCAAUACUGACGCUCAUGCACGAAAGCGUGGGGAGCAAACAGG
rnacentral:rRNA from 1 species